rnacentral:rRNA from 1 species
GAUGAACACUGGCUACAGGCUUAACACAUGCAAGUCGAGGGGUAACGAGAGGAAAGCUUGCUUUCCUUGUCGACGACCGGCGCACGGGUGAGUAACGCGCACCCAACCUGCCCCCAACUAAGGAAUAACCUUGCGAAAGUAAGACUAAUACCUUAUAAUUUCCUCAGAUGUCAUCUGACGAGGAAUAAAGAUUUAUCGGUUGUGGAUGGGGAUGCGUCUGAUUAGCUUGUUGGCGGGGUAACGGCCCACCAAGGCAACGAUCAGUAGGGGUUCUGAGAGGAAGGUCCCCCACAUUGGAACUGAGACACGGUCCAAACGCCUACGGGAGGCAGCAGUGAGGAAUAUUGGUCAAUGGGCGGAAGCCUGAACCAGCCAAGUAGCGUGCAGGAUGACGGCCCUAUGGGUUGUAAACUGCUUUUAUACAGGAAUAAAGUUAGCCACGUGUGGUUAUUUGUAGGUACUGUAUGAAUAAGGACCGGCUAAUUCCGUGCCAGCCGCCGCCGUAA